rnacentral:rRNA from 1 species
CCUACGGGAGGCAGCAGUGAGGAAUAUUGGUCAAUGGGCGAGAGCCUGAACCAGCCAAGUCGCGUGAGGGAGUACUGCCCUAUGGGUUGUAAACCUCUUUUGUCGGGGAGCAAAAGCCGGACGUGUCCGGCUGUGAGAGUACCCGAAGAAAAAGCAUCGGCUAACUCCGUGCCAGCAGCCGCGGUAAUACGGAGGAUGCGAGCGUUAUCCGGAUUUAUUGGGGUAAAAGGGUGCGCAGGCGGAUUUUUAAGUCAGCGGUCAAAUCGUGGGGCUCAACCCCAUCCAGCCGUUGAAACUGGGGAUCUAGAGUGUGCGAGAGGUAUGCGGAAUGCGUGGUGUAGCGGUGAAAUGCAUAGAUAUCACGCAGAACCCCGAUUGCGAAGGCAGCAUACCGGUGCACAACUGACGCUCAGGCACGAAAGCGUGGGUAUCGAACAGGAUUAGAUACCCCAGUAGUC